rnacentral:rRNA from 1 species
ACUCCUACGGGAGGCAGCAGUAGGGAAUCUUCGGCAAUGGACGAAAGUGUGACCGAGCAACGCCGCGGAGUGAAGAAGGUUUUCGGAUCGUAAAACUCUGUUGUUAGAGAAGAACAAGGACGUUAGUAACUGAAAUCCCCUGACGGUAUCUACCAGGA